AAGAUGAGAAAGAAGCCCUUUUCUUCCCCUCGAUUGAAAAAAGAGUAAACCCUAAUUUCUCAAAUUGCAGACCAAACACUAUGAACCCUUGGAAGGGAAGCGUUUCUCUUUCGAUUUGUACCAAGCUGAGGUUAGUCAUUGUUGGAUUUGAUUUCUAAUAGAUCUGCAAGGAGGUAUUUCUCAAGGAGCUUGUAAGGUCAGUUACAUGUAUAGCUUAUGAGAAGUUGAAGAAUUUGCCAUCACGGUCUCUUAGAAGAAGUUGGUUUUGUCUGAAAUCGAGGAGAAGUUGAAGAACGCCAUAGAGAUUAAUCACUUGGGUGAGUUUGUUACAAAUUUCAAUCCACCUGGAGAAUAAAAUAAGAAGUUUGUUCAUCUGGGGAAGUGAAUCAUGCGAAAGAAAAAAACAAUUGAGGAGAUGUUAAUUUCAUUUAUGUAUCUGAUUUUACCUUUAAUAUUUCAGGAUUUGGAACUAUUGACUUGUGAAUUUUUCGAUGUUAUAGAUUUCGUGAGGACUAAUGUUUUAACUUUAAUAUUUGUUUGCAGAUAGUAUAUUUGCCACGUUUCAUUGUCAUGGCCUAUUAUAUUGCCGAUUCGAUGAGAAGCUUAACUAUGGAAAGCGUUAUGUUCUAUUUGGGUUGUGGAAAGUUUGUAAAAAGUCUGUAUUAGUUGCCAAGCUCAUAAGAAUUAAGUUCUAGCUACAUCAAGUACUAUUUAGACAAAAAGAUUUUUUUUUGUAAAUUAUUAUUACUAUGUAUUUUGAUUA